rnacentral:lncRNA from 1 species
GGGUCAAUUUCACUCAGAUUGUAAACAUUCAUAGGAGAAGGCUUUUCUUCUUCUUUUGUUAUUAUUCCUCUAAGUUUGAGAAGAUAUUUCUUUUUUAAUUUUGGAUUAUCAAUUUUAUCUAUAAAUUUUAAUAAUAAAUUUUGUUUGCUCGUUAUUACAUAGACUCUUUUUGUGGAAAGCCCUUCUUCAAAUUCAUUUUUCUCUUUUGAGAUUUC